GAUGAACGCUAGCGGCAGGCCUAAUACAUGCAAGUCGAACGGUGUCUUCGGACAUAGUGGCGCACGGGUGCGUAACACGUAUGCAACCUACCUUACAUUGGGGGAUAGCCUUUCGAAAGGGAGAUUAAUACCGCAUAAGACAGUAGCUGGGCAUCCAGCAGCUGUUAAAGAUUUAUCGAUGUAAGCUGGGCAUGCGUCCAAUUAGCUAGUUGGUGAGGUAACGGCUCACCAAGGCAAUGAUUGGUAGGGGAACUGAGAGGUCAAUCCCCCACACUGGCACUGAGAUCAGGGCCAGACUCCUACGGGAGGCAGCAGUAGGGAAUAUUGGGCAAUGGACGCAAGUCUGACCCAGCCAUGCCGCGUGCAGGAUGAAGGCGUUAUGCGUUGUAAACUGCUUUUAUACAGGAAGAAACGACUCUUGCGAGAGGCAUUGACGGUACUGUAUGAAUAAGCACCGGCUAACUCCGUGCCAGCCGCCGCAGUAAAAC
rnacentral:rRNA from 1 species